GAUGAACGCUGGCGGCGUGCCUAAUACAUGCAAGUCGAGCGAACAGAUGAGGAGCUUGCUCCUCUGACGUUAGCGGCGGACGGGUGAGUAACACGUGGAUAACCUACCUAUAAGACUGGGAUAACUUCGGGAAACCGGAGCUAAUACCGGAUAAUAUAUUGAACCGCAUGGUUCAAUAGUGAAAGACGGUUUUGCUGUCACUUAUAGAUGGAUCCGCGCCGCAUUAGCUAGUUGGUAAGGUAACGGCUUACCAAGGCAACGAUGCGUAGCCGACCUGAGAGGGGAAUCGGCCACACUGAAACUGAGACACGGUCCAGACUCCUACGGGAGGCAGCAGUAGGGAAUCUUCCGCAAUGGGCGAAAGCCUGACGGAGCAACGCCGCGUGAGUGAUGAAGGUCUUCGGAUCGUAAAACUCUGUUAUUAGGGAAGAACAAAUGUGUAAGUAACUAUGCACGUCUUGACGGUACCUAAUCAGAAAGCCACGGCUAACUACGU
rnacentral:rRNA from 1 species